ensembl:lncRNA
UGAAGCCAGGAGCCUGGAACUCCAUCCGCAUCUGCUGUGUGAGUGGCAGUGGCCCAAGUACCAGGAUCAUGUUCAACUGAUGUCCCAGUCCCAUUAGCAGGAAGCUGGUUCAGAACUGCAACAAGAGCUAAGACUCAAACCACUGGCUCUCAUAUGAGAUACCUGCAACCCAGGCAGCAGCUAAACUCCCUGUGCCACAAUUCUGACCCCAACCCCAAUUUCCUACACCAGCUCUUCUCCCUGAAUCCAUAGCUCUUUCAAUUUUACAUUUAGUAUUUUUUUAAAAAAUUGAUUCUGCUGGGGGGUGGAGUGAGAGAUUCAUCACAGCAAAUAGGAAUCCCAGGAGGUAGCACUGGGCGGAGGACCGUGGGGACUUCCAAGGCAUGUUUGUGCUGAUUAGAAGGAAUUCCUUUUCUCUGCCUCUUAGGGGUAAUGCAUCAGACCCUACAAAAUGCUUUGCCUGCACUAGAAAGGCACUUUGUGACUUGAUCUACAUUGAACAAAGGCAGAGGGAUUGGGUACUGGGUUCAAUGACUUUUGGUCUGCAGGACAAGGAAAACUCAAGAAGGUGGUAUGGCUGGCAGAGGCCAGUGAAACUGUACCCCAGGGAGGGAGAGAUCCUGGUACGCAAGUAAGAAGACCGUGAUCAUGGAUUUCAUACAAGUCCGCAGCUGCUCACACUCUCUCAACCCAGAGAGCUCUCCUACUUCAGAAUGAACAAUGAUGCGGAGGUUCUGCUGCUGGGGAUGAAGUGGACAGCCCAAGAGACAGACUGAGGUAACUGAGGGUCUCGUCUCAGAAUGUGAAGAAUACUGGGAUGCAGUGGGGUGCUUUGCAGUCAGCUGUUUUGAGAACACAAAAGGAUAGAGGGUUUCUGAGAACAAAUGGGUAGUGGAGUUCCCUAACCUUUGCUGUUUCCAGGAGCACAAGGCACAGGUGCAUCUUAGCACUGUCAGAGUAUACAGUGGUGACUACUGUGCUAAGUGUAUAAUGGGAAUUGCUGUGGGGCAGGAACAGACCAUGAGGGUAUCAGGAGCUCAGUCAUCAAGAGGCCUCUGUGUUACCUGGAACUGGCCUGAACCUGCUCUCACGAGGUAAUUGUGAAAUAUUCAACAAUAUUUUGACAAAGAUUCUUUGCUUGGGCAAACAUUAAUUAGGCUUCUACAUUGUCUCUUAGGCCUGUUUGUACACUUCCUUAUAAGAUCUGGUUUUUGCAAACAGCUCUUCUAGGUUCAGCAAGAACCUUCCACCUCAAUGUCUGAUCAGGUUCCUUAUCUGACAACAGCCCCAAGUGAUAAAUGAUCACCCUGGCCAGUCUUCAGUUAGGUCAGUUCACCUGACUCCCCUUACCCUUAAGGUUUCCUCUUAUUAACUACCCAACUACCCAUGCACUGACUCCCACCCUGAGCUUUGACUAUGAAUUCUUACUCACCUAUGCAGUGUUUGGAGUUGAGCCCUAUCUAUCUCUACUACUACAAGCCCCAGUAGUAAUGGUCCCUGCUUCUACCAUGAUGGUCCUGGAAUAAAUUCUUCCUUACUGUGGUUUUACA